AAAAUUAGAGUGUUCAAAGCAGGCAGAUCCAAUUUUCUGCCACCGAAUACAUUAGCAUGGGAUAAUGGAAUAGGACCCUGUCCUCCUAUUUUCAGUUGGUUUUGGCAGCGCGAGGACUAGGGUAAUGAUUAAUAGGGAUAGUUGGGGGCAUUAAUAUUUAAUUGUCAGAGGUGAAAUUCUUGGAUUUAUGAAAGAUUAACUUCUGCGAAAGCAUCUGCCAAGGAUGUUUUCAUUAAUCAAGAACGAAAGUUAGGGGAUCGAAGACGAUCAGAUACCGUCGUAGUCUUAACCAUAAACGAUGCCGACCAGCGAUUAGGAGACGUUGAAUACAAAACACCACCAUCGGUGCGGUCGUCCUUGGCGUUGGUCUUCAAAAGCCAGCGCGGGGGUGGCUAGCCC
rnacentral:rRNA from 1 species